GAGGAAGAAGAGCAGUGUUUAUGACAAGUGAAGAAAUUGAGUUUGCAGUUAUCUUCAAAUUGGAAGCCCAGCCCAAAUUUUGGCAAAAAGUAGAUUUGGAUAAAGACAAGCAACAUCCAGGUUGUUGUAUUAAAUGAAAAUUGUCAGAGCCUUGCAGUAACUGUUCCAAGUCCAAAUUUUGUCAAGCUGGAUGCCUUUCCUACUGCAAGCCAGUCAACUGUGAAGCAAGUUUAGUCAGGCAAACACAAGCAAGCAGAGUUUAUACCUUGUUCAAAAGCACUAGACAAUGACUGAAGCAAGAUCUGAAUUAUGACCAUGUGAUCAAUUGACCAGCAUCACAGUGUAACAACU